rnacentral:rRNA from 1 species
UACGUAGGUCCCGAGCGUUGUCCGGAUUUAUUGGGCGUAAAGCGAGCGCAGGUGGUUUAUUAAGUCUGGUGUAAAAGGCAGUGGCUCAACCAUUGUAUGCAUUGGAAACUGGUAGACUUGAGUGCAGGAGAGGAGAGUGGAAUUCCCGGUGUAACGGUGGAAUGUGUAGAUAUCGGGAAGAACACCAAUGGCGAAGGCAGGUCUCUGGGCCGUUACUGACGCUGAGGAGCGAAAGCGUGGGGAGCGAACAGG